rnacentral:rRNA from 1 species
UACGUAGGGCGCAAGCGUUGUCCGGAAUUAUUGGGCGUAAAGAGCUCGUAGGCGGUUUGUCGCGUCUGCUGUGAAAACCUCAGGCUCAACCUGGGGCUUGCAGUGGGUACGGGCAGACUAGAGUGCGGUAGGGGUGACUGGAAUUCCUGGUGUAGCGGUGGAAUGCGCAGAUAUCAGGAGGAACACCGAUGGCGAAGGCAGGUCACUGGGCCGCAACUGACGCUGAGGAGCGAAAGCUAGGGGAGCAAACGGG